rnacentral:rRNA from 1 species
ACGCUGGCGGCGUGCCUAACACAUGCAAGUCGAGCGAGGAGAUUCCUCGGGAUGAUCCUAGCGGCGGACGGGUGAGUAACACGUGGCAACCUGCCUCAUAGAGAGGAAUAGCCUUCCGAAAGGGAGAUUAAUACCUCAUAACAUUGCAGUUUCGCAUGGAACAGCAAUUAAAGGAGCAAUCCGCUAUGAGAUGGGCCCGCGGCGCAUUAGCUAGUUGGUGAGGUAACGGCUCACCAAGGCGACGAUGCGUAGCCAACCUGAGAGGGUGAUCGGCCACAUUGGGACUGAGACACGGCCCAGACUCCUACGGGAGGCAGCAGUGGGGAAUAUUGCACAAUGGGGGAAACCCUGAUGCAAGCAACGCCGCGUGAGUGAUGACGGCCUCCGGGUUGUAAAGCUCUGUCUUCAGGGACGAUAAUGACGGUACCUGAGGAGGAAGCCACGGCUAACUACGUGCCAGCCGCUGC